rnacentral:rRNA from 1 species
GGCAGACGGGUGAGUAAUGCAUGGGAAUCUACCCAGCUCUACGGAAUAACUCAGGGAAACUUGAACUAAUACCGUAUGCGCCCUUCGGGGGAAAGAUUUAUCGGAGUUGGAUGAGCCCAUGUCUGAUUAGCUAGUUGGUGGGGUAAAGGCCUACCAAGGCGACGAUCAGUAGCUGGUCUGAGAGGAUGAUCAGCCACACUGGGACUGAGACACGGCCCAGACUCCUACGGGAGGCAGCAGUGGGGAAUAUUGGACAAUGGGCGAAAGCCUGAUCCAGCCAUGCCGCGUGAGUGAUGAAGGCCCUAGGGUUGUAAAGCUCUUUCACCGGUGAAGAUAAUGACGGUAACCGGAGAAGAAGCCCCGGCUAACUUCGUGCCAGCAGCCGCGGUAAUACGAAGGGGGCUAGCGUUGUUCGGAAUUACUGGGCGUAAAGCGCGCGUAGGCGGAUCGGUCAGUUAGGGGUGAAAUCCCGGGGCUCAACCCCGGAACUGCCUCUAAUACUGCCGAUCUAGAGUUCGAGAGAGGUGAGUGGAAUUCCGAGUGUAGAGGUGAAAUUCGUAGAUAUUCGGAGGAACACCAGUGGCGAAGGCGGCUCACUGG